rnacentral:rRNA from 1 species
UACGUAGGGUGCGAGCGUUAAUCGGAAUUACUGGGCGUAAAGCGUGCGCAGGCGGUUUUGUAAGCCAGAUGUGAAAGCCCCGGGCUCAACCUGGGAAUGGCAUUUGGGACUGCAAGGCUGGAGUUUGGCAGAGGAGACUGGAAUUCCUGGUGUAGCAGUGAAAUGCGUAGAUAUCAGGAGGAAUACCAAAGGCGAAGGCAGGUCACUGGGCAGUUACUGACACUGAGGCACGAAGGCUAGGGGAGCAAACGGG